rnacentral:rRNA from 1 species
GGAGGGUGCAAGCGUUGUUCGGAAUUAUUGGGCGUAAAGAGCGUGUGGGCGGUCCGGUAAGUCAGAUGUGAAAGCCCUGGGCUCAACCCAGGAAGUGCAUUUGAAACUACCAGACUUGAGUACGGGAGAGGAGGGGGAAUUCCCGGUGUAGAGGUGAAAUUCGUAGAUAUCGGGAGGAAUACCAGUGGCGAAGGCGCCCUCUGGACCGAUACUGACGCUGAGACGCGAAAGCGUGGGGAGCAAACAGGAUUAGAUACCCUGGUAGUCCACGCCGUAAACGAUGAGCACUAGGUGUAGCGGGUAUUGACCCCCCCUGCUGUGCCCGUAGCUAACGCAUUAAGUGCUCCGCCUGGGGGACUACGGUCGCAAGACUA